rnacentral:rRNA from 1 species
CAGUCGCGCGGGAAUACAGAGGGUGCGAGCGUUAAUCGGAUUUACUGGGCGUAAAGCGUGCGUAGGCGGCUUCUUAAGUCGGAUGUGAAAUCCCUGAGCUUAACUUAGGAAUUGCAUUCGAUACUGGGAAGCUAGAGUAUGGGAGAGGAUGGUAGAAUUCCAGGUGUAGCGGUGAAAUGCGUAGAGAUCUGGAGGAAUACCGAUGGCGAAGGCAGCCAUCUGGCCUAAUACUGACGCUGAGGUACGAAAGCAUGGGGAGCAAACAGGAUUAGAUACCCGUGUAGUCCCUGUCUCUUAUACA